GAUGAACGCUAGCGGGAGGCUUAACACAUGCAAGUCGAGGGGCAGCAUAGGGUAGCAAUACUCUGAUGGCGACCGGCAAACGGGUGAGUAACGCGUAUGCAACCUACCCUGUACAGGGGGAUAACCCGGAGAAAUUCGGACUAAUAUCCCGUAAUAAUAUCCGGAGGCAUCUUUGGAUAUUUAAAGUUUCGACGGUACGGGAUGGGCAUGCGUAACAUUAGCUGGUUGGUAAGGUAACGGCUUACCAAGGCUAUGAUGUUUAGGGGUCCUGAGAGGGUGGUCCCCCACACUGGUACUGAGACACGGACCAGACUCCUACGGGAGGCAGCAGUGAGGAAUAUUGGUCAAUGGGCGCAAGCCUGAACCAGCCAUCCCGCGUGCAGGAAGACGGCCCUAUGGGUUGUAAACUGCUUUUCCAGGGAGAGAAACUUACGCACGUGUUGCGUGACUGACGGUACCCUGGGAAUAAGCAUCGGCUAACUCCGUGCCAGCAGCCGCGGUAACUGUAGUCGU
rnacentral:rRNA from 1 species